GAGUAACGCGUGGGUAACCUACCCUUUGGAAAGGAAUAGCCUCGGGAAAACUGGGAAUAAUCCCUUAUAAGAUACCGUUUGUCGCAUAGCAUUUGUAUUAAACGCUCCCGCGCCAUAGGAUGGACCCGCGUCCCAUUAGCUAGUUGGUGAGAUAACAGCUCACCAAGGCCACGAUGGGUAACCGGUCUGAGAGGGCGAACGGUCACACUGGAACUGAGACACGGUCCAGACUCCUACGGGAGGCAGCAGUGGGGAAUAUUGCGCAAUGGGGGCAACCCUGACGCAGCAAUACCGCGUGAGUGAAGAAGGUUUUCGGAUCGUAAAGCUCUGUUAUUGGGGAAGAAAAAAAGACGGUACCCAAGAAGAAAGUUCCGGCUAACUACGUGCCAGCAGCCGCGGUAAUACGUAGGGAACAAGCGUUGUCCGGAUUUACUGGGCGUAAAGGGCACGCAGGCGGUUUUUUAAGUCAGAUGUGAAAGGCCACAGCUCAACUGUGGACAUGCAUUUGAAACUGAAAGACUUGAGUAUUGGAGAGCGCAAGUGGAAUUCCUAGUGUAGCGGUGAAAUGCGUAGAUAUUAGGAGGAACCCGAGUAACGCGUGGGUAACCUACCCUUUGGAAAGGAAUAGCCUCGGGAAAACUGGGAAUAAUCCCUUAUAAGAUACCGUUUGUCGCAUAGCAUUUGUAUUAAACGCUCCCGCGCCAUAGGAUGGACCCGCGUCCCAUUAGCUAGUUGGUGAGAUAACAGCUCACCAAGGCCACGAUGGGUAACCGGUCUGAGAGGGCGAACGGUCACACUGGAACUGAGACACGGUCCAGACUCCUACGGGAGGCAGCAGUGGGGAAUAUUGCGCAAUGGGGGCAACCCUGACGCAGCAAUACCGCGUGAGUGAAGAAGGUUUUCGGAUCGUAAAGCUCUGUUAUUGGGGAAGAAAAAAAGACGGUACCCAAGAAGAAAGUUCCGGCUAACUACGUGCCAGCAGCCGCGGUAAUACGUAGGGAACAAGCGUUGUCCGGAUUUACUGGGCGUAAAGGGCACGCAGGCGGUUUUUUAAGUCAGAUGUGAAAGGCCACAGCUCAACUGUGGACAUGCAUUUGAAACUGAAAGACUUGAGUAUUGGAGAGCGCAAGUGGAAUUCCUAGUGUAGCGGUGAAAUGCGUAGAUAUUAGGAGGAACCC
rnacentral:rRNA from 1 species